rnacentral:piRNA from 1 species
UAAUUUGAAUGCCGUUCGCGAGGUUAC